GCUUUGGUGGUCUAGUAGUAUGAUUCACCCUUAGGGCUUCCCCUGCGGGCUUGUUUGGGUGAGGUCCCGGGUUCAAUUCCCGGCCAGAGCC
rnacentral:tRNA from 1 species